GAUGAACGCUGGCGGCGUGCCUAAUACAUGCAAGUCGAGCGAACAGACGAGGAGCUUGCUCCUCUGACGUUAGCGGCGGACGGGUGAGUAGCACGUGGAUAACCUACCUAUAAGACUGGGAUAACUUCGGGAAACCGGAGCUAAUACCGGAUAAUAUAUUGAACCGCAUGGUUCAAUAGUGAAAGACGGUUUUGCUGUCACUUAUAGAUGGAUCCGCGCCGCAUUAGCUAGUUGGUAAGGUAACGGCUUACCAAGGCAACGAUGCGUAGCCGACCUGAGAGGGUGAUCGGCCACACUGGAACUGAGACACGGUCCAGACUCCUACGGGAGGCAGCAGUAGGGAAUCUUCCGCAAUGGGCGAAAGCCUGACGGAGCAACGCCGCGUGAGUGAUGAAGGUCUUCGGAUCGUAAAACUCUGUUAUUAGGGAAGAACAAAUGUGUAAGUAACUAUGCGCGUCUUGACGGUACCUAAUCAGAAAGCCACGGCUAACUACGUG
rnacentral:rRNA from 1 species